UACGUAGGGUGCGAGCGUUAAUCGGAAUUACUGGGCGUAAAGCGUGCGCAGGCGGUUUUGUAAGUCAGAUGUGAAAUCCCCGAGCUCAACUUGGGAACUGCGUUUGAAACUACAAGACUAGAAUAUGUCAGAGGGGGGUAGAAUUCCACGUGUAGCAGUGAAAUGCGUAGAGAUGUGGAGGAAUACCAAUGGCGAAGGCAGCCCCCUGGGAUAAUAUUGACGCUCAUGCACGAAAGCGUGGGGAGCAAACAGGAUUAGAUACCCUGGUAGUCCACGCCCUAAACGAUGUCUACUAGUUGUUGGUGGAGUAAAAUCCAUGAGUAACGCAGCUAACGCGUGAAGUAGACCGCCUGGGGAGUACGGUCGCAAGAUUA
rnacentral:rRNA from 1 species